ACUCUGGCAACUGAACUUUGGCAGUAAACACAGCUUAGUUGUCUCAGAGGAUUCACAAUGGGAAAUGUUUGUAGUUGCUGCCUCAGAGUUCAUUUCCCAGCAUAUUCUGUUGAAGAUCAAAGAGUGGAUCCUGGGGUGCCAGGGGAAUCCACCGUCUGCCACCACAAGUAUCACGAUGAGCACGUGGCACAGGAAACUUCUUCUGAGGAUGUCCCAGCCGUUCACAUGCACCAUGGAGGAUGGACUGGCAGCAGCUGAGUCUGUGCUGUGGACACACCUUUCCACACAUCUAUCCACACACGCCAGCCCCGUGUCCACAGCUCCAAGAUCACCUGAGGGAUUCACUCCGUGGAGCUCAUGUGCUUAUAGUGACUCUGUUUCCCAGAUGAGCGGGGACCCAGCCACACUGGCAAAGAUUCUGAUGAAGGAUCUACUACAGGAGCUGUCCAGUUACAACGGAGAGGAGGAGGACCCAGAGGAUGUGAAGAAAUCCUCAGGAGUUAUACAAAGGGACACUCUGAUGCUUGCUUCACAGAAUUGGAAGACUCCACCAUUACAGGCGGCCACCAGCAGAUGUCAGCAAGUCCUUCCUCUGCACCUGCAGAAGAAGCAACAGAAAAGACAAAAGUGGAAGCGGAAGUGUGAGGGGAAGUGGAAGCAGGCAGAAUGAUGAGGGAAGCACAGACAUGCCCAUGUUCUUCAUGGCUACACUCACAUUCUUGUUGUCCCAUCAGGAAAACCAGGAAGCCCAGGAAGAAUGUCCUGAACUGUUGGGACAUUUUUAGUUUAUUUUAGAGACCUCUGAAGGAUGAUAUUGAUGAUGAAAUGUCCUACAAUGAUCAUUUAGAGCUUUAUUUUGAACAACUGGCAAUUCCAGGAAUGAUGGAAUAAAACAUAUGAAGUAGAAGGACUGGAACCUCUAGAAAAAAUACUUUAAGUUACCUGCAAGUGAUCCUAGUCAGGUAUGAAUUGAUAAGAAAUGCCUGCACCUUACCUCCUUCCUAUCUUUCCCUUGCCUACAGAAAAUUAAAAGGCAAAGACAAUGGACAUCUACAUAUUCUUCAUUCAGAUCAACCAGUGGCUAGCAUUUGCCACCUUUGCAUUUUCUUUCUCUUUCCAUAAGUACUUUCUUCUCUGAAUCAUUUGAAAGCAAAUGAAAACAGUAGCCUAAAGUGUCAGUUUCAACCAGAAAAUAACAGCUCUGAUUUCUCAUGGCUCACACUCUUCUGAAAAGAUUCAGGAGGAGGCUCAGGAAGGCCAUGUUGUUUGUCUACCUGGGACUACACCUACUGAAAGAAGUUCUCAAGUUCUGAUUGAGUUCUAAAAGAUUUUGAAGAUUGGAAUUCUUCAUAGUCAGAUCUAAGAUUCUUAGUUGAAAGGAUUUCCCCACUCAGUACUUUGAAUUAAUCAACCCUACUGCCUUCUGGCCUCCAAGGUUUCUGCUGGAGUCUUGCUCUGUCACCCAGGCUGGAGUGC